AAGCGUAAUCAUGGCAGUGUUCACGAAUCUAUACUUGCCAACGUGUAAUUCUAUGUUUAAUAUCUAAUCGACAACAGAUAUAAAAUUUGUUUUCGUAUAAUACAGAAAAUUAAAUGUAAUCUGAUUUUAUUUAUUUAAUUUGCUAGCAUGACAGAGAAACACUGUUCGAAUCUAUUCGAAAUUCGGAUUUCAACACAAUGGAAAGCAACUGGAACUUUUUUCUUUGUACAUUUUUUGCCGGGAUAGUUUGCUAAUUCAACACAAGAGCGAAGCACAAGCAAGUUCUGCUGCAAAGUACAUGGAUAUCUGGAUAGAAGAUAAAAAAAGGAGUAAGGACUCUCAUGUUGUGCGUGGUGUGGUGCUAAAUAUACUAAGUGUUUCAUAAUAUCUGAUAAUUUAGUAGUGUGUACAUAAAACUUCUUCCAGUACGGAACAUAAUCUAGGGGUGUUGCUUGGACUAGAAGUGGUUAAUCUGUCAGAUUUAUAUGAACGUCAUCGAACGUAAGAGUCCUUGUGGUUAGCACUUCUUCGUGUGGAGAGGUCUCAGGUUUAGAUCUGAAUGUGAGCGUUGAUAUUACCAAAAUACUACUACAAAUUAGGAUAAUAGCAUAUCUUUCCAUAACCUUUACAGCUCAUUAAUUAUUAUUCCUAUUCAAUGCCAUUUGAUUUGAGCUGCUGAUAACUAGUUACAUAAACUACAGACAACCUCCAUUACAAAUGCUAAUUUAGUUCUUUGGUAUUGAUCUAAUAAAACCAGUUAUUCCAUAUCCAGUUCACUUGAUUUGCUGCAUUUGGUUGUUUACCUUCUGUAUGUGUGUCUUGUAUUGUUCUGAACCUUAUAAUCUCCUGGAACUGUAUUUACUCCAUAGUUUGUUGGUAUUGAAUUGUUGAACACAUGCUUCUGCCACUGAAGCAAAUCACUUGUCUUACAUGACUGAAUGCUGUCUUGCAGUUCCAGCAACUUAUAUCACCCCUCUGGAGUGUAUGCAUAUUGUGCUUGCCUGUGAGGAGUGAAAAGGUCAUGAAUUACAAAAAAGGUGGAAAAACUUAAGAGGAUGCUACAUCCGAGAAGUGAAACGUCAAAAAGAAAUAAAAUCGGGGUCUGGUGCUGGUUCCCGCAAAAGCGAAUAUGUGUACUACAAACAGUUACGGUUUCUACAAAAAGUAGUAGCUAUCAGAGACGCAGAUGUCAAAGAAGAAUCCACAGACAAUUCUCGAAAUGAAGAAGCCCAAACACAGGAUACAGAAAAUAAUGUAGAAAAGCGAUCUCGGAAAAGAAAAAGGUUUCAGACAAAGCAACAAAGUAUUCAGAAUGAAACUGAUCCUUUGGUGGAAGUUCUGAAUAAAUCUACUGAAAAAAGGGAGCAACACGAAAAAUCUGAAGAUGACGAAGAUAAAAUGUUCUUGCUCUCUUUGCUGACUUCAUUGAAAUCAGUUCCCCCCAAAAAGAAAAUGACAUUAAAAAUUAACAUCAUGUCUUUAAUAAAUGAAGUCAUGCAGGAAAACCCGCGAGGAAGAUCAACAUUUCGUUAACGCGGUGGCCGCCCUAAUCCACAUUGGUACCGAGACGGAUAUUGGUCUUGAUCGCCUGCAAGUAAUACUACCGAUACCUUUAUAGAACUGCGUCAGUAAAUUAUGUGACUGAUGCAAGGAGGUUUUAUGAGAAAUGUUCGAUUAAAGUACAAAUAAUGUGAAUUAAGAAGAAACCUGCUUUUAUAAUGUUUUAUUAAAUAACGUUUGUUCAUGUAAUAUUACAUGUGAUUCGCAAGAACUGAAACAUUUCAAAUUCAAUAAUGCACAAUGUGUAUGGACGUUUAACAAUGCAAAGUGUGUGUAUGGAGAAUUUUUUUUUACUUAUUUCUUUGUUGCAGAAUUGAAAUUCACUCCAGGUAUGUAGUUUUGAUAAAGGUAAAUCUCAUUCCCUCCAAAGUGAUAAAAGUGGACAUUUCUCCUUCCUAAUAACCCUUCAUUUCUUGAUCUGAUAAUGUUGAUUUGUUGAACAGGGUUGUAGUAAUUAUUGUUUAAUAAAUACUGCUUUUUAUUUUAUA